GACUAUUCAUUCACCCAAACUCUUCAUAGUAGUCCAUAAAUCAUAAUCCAUAUCAAAAUCAAUUGUUUGCCACAUGGACGUCGUAUCGGGUCGGGUCAAAACUAAAUGGAAAACUUGAAGAAAAAGCGGUUGGAGGUAACAGACGGUAGAUUAUCCGGCAAGAAAAUCAGGUCCAAGAAAGAGCGGUCUAACGGCGGAGUAACGGCUGAUGACGCUGAGUUGGACGAAUUUUUGGCUAUUUUAAACCGGUUACAAGCCGGUUUUAAUCAUUUUCGGGAGAAAAGUACCGGUAAGGCUGCCGUUAAACCACCGGCGACAUUUGAGUUGGGUGACUUUAGUUUCCAAGAUGGUGGGAGGAAAAUAAGUACUGGAGAUACACUACAGAACGAUGAUGUUGUCGGAUUUGAUCUUAAUGCCGAUCCGGUAUUUGAUUAGAAAUCCGGUUGAACCGUCCGAUAGAACCGGUUAAACCUCCGGUACAACCGGUUGAACCGCUUGAUACAUCCAAUUAAACUAUUUCAGAGCCAAAUCUGAUACGGUAUAAAAACCGAAAUUUAAAAGAUUGGUUAAUUAUGGUUUUUUGGGUGGGUUGGUUAGCAAAUUGACGUAUGUUUUUUUUAUUAUUGUGGUUUCUUGGUCAGCAUAUUGACCUUUGUUUGUUGUUGGUUUAAUAAUAAAUGUAUUAUGUGCAUUAAAGCUUGUGUCAUAAUGCAAGCAAAGAAUUACGUGUAUGUAACUAACAUGACCAAUUCAACGUUAUAUAAUUUGUAACUU